ensembl:misc_RNA
CCCGCGUGUCUCAUGGCCACGGUCUUCGGUGCAGAAGCAACUAGGACAGUGUUAAUAAACUUGGAGCUGAGUCGAUAAACAGCCACUACAGACAAGACUACGCCAACAGUAACACUCCAGGGACAAUGCAGAAACAAAGUAUUUCAAAGGAAGUGUUACAAUCCUUGAAAUGUGAAAAUAAUCAU